rnacentral:rRNA from 1 species
AUUGAACGCUGGCGGCAGGCCUAACACAUGCAAGUCGAGCGAGCGGCGGACGGGUGAGUAAUGUAUGGGGACUGCCCGAUCGGGGGGGAUAACUACUGGAAACGGUAGCUAAUACCGCAUACUAUCGGAUACCCCCUAUGGGAUUAGCUAGUUGGUGAGGUAAUGGCUCACAAAGGCGACGAUCCCUAGCUGGUCUGCGAGGAUGAUCAGCAACACUGGGACUGAGACACGGCCCAGACUCCUACGGAGGCAUCAGUGGGGAAUAUUGCACAAGGGGCGCAAGCCUGAUGCAGCCAUGCCGCGUGUAUGAAGAAGGCCCUAGGGUUGUAAAGUUCUUUCGGUAGCGAGGCGUUAACUACAGAAGAAGCACCGGCUAACUCCGUGCCAGCAGCCGCGGUAAUUC